rnacentral:rRNA from 1 species
AUUGAACGCUGGCGGCAGGCCUAACACAUGCAAGUCGAGCGGAGCGGCGGACGGGUGAGUAAUGCCUAGGAAUCUGCCUGGUCGUGGGGGAUAACGUCCGGAAACGGGCGCUAAUACCGCAUACUAUCAGAUGAGCCUAGGUCGGAUUAGCUAGUUGGUGGGGUAAAGGCCUACCAAGGCGACGAUCCGUAACUGGUCUGAGAGGAUGAUCAGUCACAAUGGGAAUGGGGCACGGGCCAGACUUCCACGGGAGGCAGCAGUGGGGAAUAUUGGACAAUGGGCGAAAGCCUGAUCCAGCCAUGCCGCGUGAGUGAUGACGGCCUUCGGGUUGUAAAGCUCUGUUAAUCGGGACGCGGUACCGGAAUAGAAAGCCACGGCUAACUACGUGCCAGCAGCCGCGGUAAUAC